AACGAACGCUGGCGGCAUGCCUAACACAUGCAAGUCGAACGAGACCUUCGGGUCUAGUGGCGCACGGGUGCGUAACGCGUGGGAACCUGCCCUUAGGUUCGGAAUAACUCCCCGAAAGGGGUGCUAAUACCGGAUAAUGUCUUCGGACCAAAGAUUUAUCGCCUUUGGAUGGGCCCGCGUUGGAUUAGCUAGUUGGUAGGGUAAAAGCCUACCAAGGCGACGAUCCAUAGCUGGUCUGAGAGGAUGAUCAGCCACACUGGGACUGAGACACGGCCCAGACUCCUACGGGAGGCAGCAGUGGGGAAUAUUGGAAAAUGGGCGAAAGCCUGAUCCAGCAAUGCCGCGUGAGUGAUGAAGGCCGUAGGGUUGUAAAGCUCUUUUACCCGGGAUGAUAAUGACAGUACCGGGAGAAUAAGCCCCGGCUAACUCCGUG
rnacentral:rRNA from 1 species